rnacentral:rRNA from 1 species
AGCUCCCAAUAGCGUAUACUAAAGUUGUUGCGAUUAAAAAGCUCGUAGUUGGAUCUCAGGCAUGGGCGCAUGGUCCGCCUCGCGGCGUGUACUGUGUGUUUUGUUUCCCAUCCUACGCUUCCCGGUUGUUCAGCCCAUGGUGCUCUUCAUUGAGCGUUUUGGGUGGCCGGAACGUUUACUUUGAAGAAAUUAGAGUGUUCAAAGCAGGCACGUUGCCUGAAUAAUGGUGCAUGGAAUAAUGGAAUAGGACCUCGGUUCUAUUUUGCUGGUUUUCGGAACACGAGGUAAUGAUUAAGAGGGACAGACGGGGGCAUCCGUAUUGCGGUGUUAGAGGUGAAAUUCUUGGAUCAUCGCAAGACGAACAACUGCGAAAGCAUUUGCCAAGCAUGUUUUCA